GAUGAUUUAGUUAAGCGUGAUGACAAUAAGAAAUGGAAAGAAGAAUAUGAUGCAAUCAGGGCUAAAUAUGUUGAUUUAGUCAAGCGUGAUGACAAAAAGAAAUGGAAAGAAGAAUAUGAUACACUCAGGGCUAAAUAUGAUGAUUUAGUCAAGCGUGAU